rnacentral:rRNA from 1 species
CGCGGCCUAUCAGCUUGUUGGUGGGGUAACGGCCUACCAAGGCAUCGACGGGUAGCUGGUCUGAGAGGACGAUCGGUCACACUGGGACUGAGACACUGCCCAGACUCCUACGGGAGGCUGCAGUCGAGAAUCUUCCGCAAUGGGCGAAAGCCUGACGGAGCGACACCGCGUGCAGGAUGAAGGCCUUCGGGUUGUAAACUGCUGUCACGCCAUAGGAAAGCCCUGUCGUUAAUAGCUGCAGGGUUGACCAAAGCGAAAGGAAGCACCGGCUAACUCCGUGCCAGCAGCCGCGGUAAGACGGAGGGUGCGAACGUUGUUCGGAAUCACUGGGCAUAAAGCGCACGUAGGCGGCCAGGUCAGUCCGGUGUGAAAGCCCCCAGCUCAACCGGGGAACUGCAUCGGAUACUGCCUGGCUCGAGGACGGUUGGGGUGAGUGGAACUCCUGGUGGAGCGGUGAAAUGCGUAGAGAUCAGGAGGAACACCAGUGGCGAAAGCGGCUCACUGGACCGUCUCUGACGCUGAGGUGCGAAAGCUAGGGUAGCGAACGGGAUUAGAUACCCCGGUAGUCCUAGCCGUAAACGAUGGGCACUAGGUAGGGGGGAUACCUAUGGUCUUCCCUGCCGGAGCAAAUGUGUUAAGUGCCCCGCCUGGGGAGUACGG